rnacentral:misc_RNA from 1 species
AACGCAACUUGCACCUUGUGACUUGUCACCAGGUAUACUUGUUUGAGUAUCACAAUCAUCUGUGUCUCGCCCCGUGGGGAGUGGUGGAGGGAGGCGAUCUGAGUGUCUGUGGCCUUGGGUGAUGGGCCACUCGCUUGAAAUGGAGGUUGUCCGGAUGUCGAUAACAGCAUGCCUGAUGGGAUAACAUCCUUCAGAGGGCGCUGCGGCAAUGCACGGCGACAAGAAUGUGUAUAUGCGGAGGGGGGUGGUAACACACACAUCCAUACGCACACACACACCAACACACCGUUGAUCUCAAAUCAAGUAAGGGUACCCGCUGAACUUAA